ensembl:lncRNA
CUGGACUCUAAGCUGCUGCCCUCAGGAGCUCCAUGGUUGGGUGAGAGGCCAGGGUCCCCACGUCAACACCUCCAGCACAACAAAAUGAAACAACUAGGAACAUGAAAAAGCACGGCAACUAAACGCCUCCCAAGUCUCCCAAGCGUCCCAAGGCAGACCCAAAGGGUGCUGAUGGAGAGGAAAUCAAGCAGCAGACAUUCUGAGCUGCAGAAAACGAUCAAAGAAGAAGCAAAGAAACUCAGCUCAAAGGUGACACAGCCCUAAGACAGCAGAACAAACUGACCCAUGUGGCUAUGGAAGAAACAAAGAAUGGGCAGAGGCUCCGGGGCAGAAAGCGUGAGAAUUUCAUGACAUCAACCACGCAGAGCCCUUGGUAAUUCACCAGCUGGGGAUGUCACUCACCAACCUCAGUCCUGUGGUCUUGUCUAAGGUGCCAAUGCUGUUCACCUUCACUGGUAACCGAGUGUUAAGGUUUACAUAGAAAAUGUCUCCCGAGACGUGCUUGGCCCCUGGAGCACCAUGUCCAGUGACGUAGGUGACCGGGUCACAGGGCGCUUCGCUCCCCCGUGGAUCAAGCCACUGAAGCGCUCGCUGGGGGAAGGCUUGUUAGGAGGUGGGGUCCCGCUGGAUGACGUCACUGGGGGCGUGGCUUUGAAAAGCCUAUGUUGUGCCCAGCUCCUCCUCCACCGGAUCUUUCCCGUCUCUCUGCUUCCUGGCUACCAAGGUGAGCAGCUUUGCUCAGCCGCCCCCUCUCCACCGUGAUGUUCCUGCCUCAGCACAGGCCUAGAAGCAAUGGAGCUGGCUGAUCAGUCCCAGCCAGAAACCUCCAAAACCAUGAGCAACAUAAACCUCUCCUCUUGUGACUUUUGACUGUCUCAGGUAUUUUGUCACAGCAAUCGAAAACUUGAUUAAUACUCAGGGGUACCCUUGUUGGGUGACAGCACAACCAUGAGGACCUGGAACGGCGCAGCUGCUGGCCUGGGUCAAGGGAAAGGUCUUGGAGACGAAUGGUCAAAGUCCAGGUCACAGAGAGGGUGCCUUGGCCCAUCCCCUCUUCCCACACACUCAGCCUGAAGCACAGAGUUCCAGAUUUGCUGCCAGCCCCUGGCAGCUCUGGGGGACAGCAGUGGUGAGCAAGAGGGGACCCGUGCCCUGGGGACUAACAGUUUAGAUGCAGAGAAGGACCCAUCCCCAACCCCCAUGGAUAAAACGGAGGUUGAGUUGUGACCUAAGGGGUCCUGGAGAGCUUCCUGGAGGAGGUACAAUUGCACAUCCACCCCAAGGCCACUGGGCCCCAGAUGUGAGCUUCUGGCGCAGGCCAGACCUGGAUGAACCCCCUAAGUGACUGCUUGGCAAAGGCCACUGGCAAACCCAGUUUACAUUGGCCCAUUUGCAUAUCAUUUGCAUCUAUCUGCAUAUGUGGUGGCACUGCAUGGUCUUUUAUGCAUUUAAAUUGCAAGUCAUUUGUCUCUCCGUGAAAGCGCUCAUUUUUCCCCCACGGGGAGUUGGCUCCAUUCCCCCUGCCUGCCCUUCUAACACGGGGCACUGGCAGGCUUGCUCAGCACCGAGCAGGGCUGUGGAUCUCGGGGCGCAGGACAAGUUUGUUAUUCUGGUUUUCAGAGCCCCCUAUUAUUGUUAAGGGAGUCUUAACCCCUGGAUACAGAGGGAGUGUCGGGCAUGUGUGCCUUGUGCUACAGAUGGGGAAACUGAGGCAGGGAACGAGUGUGAGAUGUGCAGCCUCACUUACCGAGCUGCGGGCAGGACCUGAGUCAGAGGCCAGGCCUCCAAUUUCUGAUCCCGUGUUAGGGAGGUCCUGAGAGGCCAGCUCUGGAGUGCAUGGUGAGAAGAGCCCCAGAGAGGGUCAGGUUCUCAGCCAAAGCCGCACAGCCAGGCUAGGGUGCAGCCCGGGGCCCGAAGCCCUGCCAAGGGGGCUCUGCCCAGGGGGAGCCCAUGCGGGGCUUUCUUCCUGUCUAGGUUGCUGGACCAGGACCACUUAGCACAACCCACCCCACUCCACUGUGACUGGAAGCGGCCCAGAUCCGAGCUGGUGGCUUUCUGCUACGCAUCCCGAGGGUACCGCACCAGGCCCCGACGUGGCAGAGGACACCCAGCUCGCAGAUGUCACCUCCCGUGUAAACGUGUCACCAGAGCGGCCGGGACCUCCUGGAAGCCAGCAGUCCAGCCAGCUGUCAUGUCACUGGGGACAUUAUCCACGAGAUGCGACCCCCUGGAACGACAGCGCCCACGUCCUGAGUGCUUGGCUGGAGCAGCCUCGGUGCCGAGCACCCACUCAGUCAUUUCCAGUCCUUGUCCUCAUGCAUUCCUGCCAAGCGGAGGAGGCCACCAAGGCUCCGCCACACUGUGAAGUGUCCAGGUUGGGGCUGAGCAUCAGGGCAGGCUCCCUCCAGACGCCGGCAAAAGGCCCAGCACUUUCCUCAACCACCACUGUCUAACCUGCAGCCCCUCCUUUUUGGCACUCUUGUUUGUCUUGAGUGAAGAGGAAUUGUCUUGGGCUGCAUAUAAAAUAAAUAUUCUAGUAGCCAGAUGUGGUGGCACAUGUCUAAUCCCAGCACUCCGACUGUGGGAGGCUGAGGGAGGAGAAUCAUGAGUUUGCGCUCAGGUUGGGAAACUUGGUGACUUAGCAAGACCCUAUCUCAAAAUAAGACAUUUUUGGGCCAGAAUUUGGGAUAUAACUCAAUGUGAAGAUUUUGGGUUCAUCCCUGAUCUCUCUCUCUCUCUCUCUCACACACACAUACAUACACACAUUUGAAAGAUAUUUUUAUGAUAACAUUUUAAAAAGUGAGGAAAAGAAAGUUAGGCCAUACGUGG